rnacentral:misc_RNA from 1 species
UGGAUCCCCAGGUAUGCCAGUC